AUCGAAUCAGUAAAGUGGACGCACAAGUAAUUACUAGCUAGAAGCAACCACUUUCACCUCCACAAGCAAAAUAGAAGUUGCAUUUGUUGUUCCUUCUUGCCCUGCCAAUAUUCUUUAUUGCUUAGCAUAUCUACAUCCCACAAAUUCCACUCUUUCUUCAAAAGGUAUCUAGCUUGUAAAAGACCUCACGACUUUACCACUCUCCAACCCUCAAAGUAUUUAUGCUCAAAUUCAAACUCCCAUCACACACUAUCGUUACUGACCCAACAGUUCAGAAAAAGCUCUCGUCCCCAUAGGCUAUAGCUUUGUAAUGGACUGCCCAGAUCUUCAGGAAGAAACAUCUGUCAUUAGAACUAGUGAUUGACAAUUUUGGCAUUCAUUAAUAAACAGACACGCACAUGCAUUCACAACUUUGGUUUCUUUGAUAUUAUAUAUAAUCACAGUUCUUAAUAUACAUAAAAACACUAACCUUGAUCAACUAAACUAGCUGUGAUUUCUCGAACCAACCUUGCAGAAGAGCGAUGGCGAUGAACCUAGCGCUACGUCUCCAAAUGAGUUACCAUCAUUGGCCAAGAAUACAAGCAGGAACUCCAACUCGCCACCAAGACCACCGAC
rnacentral:lncRNA from 1 species